CCGGCAGGCUGCUUUAUCGCUCUUUGCUUUAAUGCAAGGAGAGGAAAGUCCGGGCAACGCAGGGCACCGUGCUUCCUAACGGGAAGAUCUUUGAAAAAGGAUGGUAGCGUAACAGAAAAUAACCACCUCUUUGGAGGAACGGGUGAAAAGGUGGGGUAAAAGCCCACCGGUGGUUGUGGCAACAUAGCCAGCCGUACGCCUCACGGGUUGCAAAGCCAAAUAUAUCCUGAUUGCGCGGCUGUUGCAGCGCAGCGAAGCUGCCCGUUUCGUUCCGGAUGCACACCGGAUGUCAGGAGGGGUAGGCUGCAGAGAUCCCGACAGUGAUGUCGGGGCCAGAUAAAUGAUAAAGAAUCCCGGGUUACCCGGGAUUACAGAACCCGGCUUACAAGCCUGCCAUUUUU
rfam:Mariniphaga anaerophila strain DSM 26910 genome assembly, contig: Ga0131162_101